GCAGAACUGCCUCUGAGCUGAUACUCAGGGCACACAGCAUAUAGAGUAUUCUUGUUCCGCAAAAAACAGUACCUCUGCUGCUGCUGUACACUCUGCUGCUUCAGAGUCGCUGUUUAACACUGUGGGUUCACCCUUGAAUUCUUCCUGGAUGAAGCCAAGAACCCUCCUGGGCUAAGCCUCAAUUUUGGGGCUUGCCUGUCCUGCGUCAGCAUGAGUACGGACUUUGGGGUUACAAAUAGGUGCAUUUGCAAAUAUGGAAUCCACGAAUGAUGAAGAUAGACUAUCACUGGGUACCACCGGAAUUCUCUGACCUGAUAACUUCAUAUGCAAAUCCUGGCUGGUCCUUGGAACAGGAGAAAGGGUUGGAAAACAAAGAUCACUUUUCUCUGGCCAAAUGGAAUCACCCAACAAAGUACCUUCCUGAUGGGCCAGCUAUUUCAGAUGAUGAAGGUUUAAGAAGCAGCAUCAUCAGCGAACUGUGUUUUGAAGAUUUGAGGGAAGGGCUGACCUCAGGAUUUUAUACUAGUUGCUGACCUCCAUAACAGCAGACAAAAUUGGAAGCAAGAGUGAUUUUGGAGGAGUCACACUUAGAUGUUUCCCUUACCUAUUUCUGUUCUGGAAAUUUAAAAAUCUUACUUCUCGUGACAGUCCUACAUGAAAAAUUAAAAAUCACAAGGAUUCAUGGAUGGAAAACUGAGACUCAGAGAAUGAUCACAUUCACAUCGUAAUAAAUCAGCAAUAGAGUGAGUGAUUGUUCCUUGGUAAGAAAUCAACUCUAAACUCAGUUGGAAACCUUUGCCAAUAUUACUUAACACAUGACAA
rnacentral:lncRNA from 1 species